UUUCAAGCUUGCAGUGGUGCUGCAUGGGAUUGGACAAGUUCAAGCCUGCUGAUUGGCUAGAAUUUGAACCUGCUAAUUGGUUCAAAUCUGAGUCUGCUAAUUGGUCCAAAUUCCAACCUUCUGUGGCCAAGGCAAAUAACUCCUGGAGCUGCUGCAAGGUAUCUAGGACAGCUGCAGGGAGGCCAGGAAGAGAGCUCACAUCCCAGCACGCUAGCUUGGACCACCUUGGGCCCACAUCCGUGUCUGAGCAGUCACCGUGCCUGGCGGUAGAAUACAGAGUGGCCAGGGCUGGACACUGGUCCAUCACAGGCUGUGACAGCCCCAACUGCAUCUUGUGCUGACCAAGGAGCCCGGGUGACAGGCUCUUAGCAACCCCUGUGACCCCAAGUCCAGCAGUGGCCACUAGGCGAGAGAGGGGAUGCAGCUGCCCCCAGAACUGGCCCCAAGACAACGUCAGUGCUUCUCAAGAAAAUUCCAAGCUGUGCAGCAGGGUCAUUUCUGGGACGCUGCAUCCAGGUCUCGCCCGAGGAUACCCAUACUCUGGUCCACGAGCAGCAGGGAAGAGCGCCGGGGCAGCUGGGGACAUGUCCUCCUCCCCUGUAAUGAGCGGGGGCUCCUUUCCAGGACCCCUGUAGCACAAAGCACCUGCUCUGAGAAGAUCUGCUGGCCCCCACUGUGUCUCCUGGGCAGCUGCUUCCUCACCUUCAUCAUCAUCAUCAUCAUCAUCAUGGGAAUAAAUGCACAGUGGGAGGCCCCAU
rnacentral:lncRNA from 1 species